rnacentral:lncRNA from 1 species
GUUGAAUAUUUAUCUUCCUAAUCACUUCAGGGAAAAUUGUUCCCCAGUUUAAGACAAGGAUUUUUUGGAGAGAGGGCUCAAACUGGUUUACAGGAAAAGUUCAUGGGUUGAAGUUGUAGGUAGAAUUAAUUAAUUAAUAGACAUAAUUUGCUUCUGAGGUCCAAAAUAAAAGUGCAGAAGUCACCCUCUCCUUUUAUCCAGAGCAGUUGCCCGGACAGAUUGCACAAAUGCUUUGGUGGUCUCUCUGUUGUCAGUCCUCGCUCACGAAGGAAAACUUCCAGGUCACCUUGAAAAUGAGAUUGUGUCACCCUGGACAGACAGACCCAGCAUUGUUCUAAAAGAGGUGGAAGAAACAGUAGUGUUUUUUGUAACUCAAAAGGUAUUUAACUGAAUAUUGCAUAGUAUCUU